rnacentral:rRNA from 1 species
GACGAACGCUGGCGGCGUGCUUAACACAUGCAAGUCGAACGGAAAGGCCCUGCUUGCAGGGUACUCGAGUGGCGAACGGGUGAGUAACACGUGGGUGAUCUGCCCUGCACUUCGGGAUAAGCCUGGGAAACUGGGUCUAAUACCGGAUAUGACCUUCCAUGUAGUGUGGGGGGUGGAAAGAUUUAUCGGUGUGGGAUGAGCCCGCGGCCUAUCAGCUUGUUGGUGUGGUAAUGGCCUACCAAGGCGUCGACGGGUAGCCGGCCUGAGAGGGUGGACGGCCACAUUGGGACUGAGAUACGGCCCAGACUCCUACGGGAGGCAGCAGUGGGGAAUAUUGCACAAUGGGCGGAAGCCUGAUGCAGCGACGCCGCGUGGGGGAUGACGGCCUUCGGGUUGUAAACCUCUUUCGACAGGGACGAAGCUUCGGUGACGGUACCUGUAUAAGAAGCACCGGCUAACUACGUG